UACAGAGGGGGCAAGCGUUGUUCGGAAUUACUGGGCGUAAAGGGCGCGUAGGCGGCCUGCUAAGUCGAACGUGAAAUCCCCGGGCUCAACCCCGGGAACUGCGUCCGAUACUGGCAGGCUUGAAUCCGGGAGAGGGAUGUGGAAUUCCAGGUGUAGCGGUGAAAUGCGUAGAUAUCUGGAGGAACACCGGUGGCGAAGGCGGCAUCCUGGACCGGCAUUGACGCUGAGGCGCGAAAGCCAGGGGAGCAAACGGGG
rnacentral:rRNA from 1 species